UACGAAGGGGGCUAGCGUUGUUCGGAAUCACUGGGCGUAAAGCGCACGUAGGCGGACUUUCAAGUCAGGGGUGAAAUCCCGGGGCUCAACCUCGGAACUGCCUUUGAUACUGUUGGUCUCGAGUCCGAUAGAGGUGGGUGGAAUUCCUAGUGUAGAGGUGAAAUUCGUAGAUAUUAGGAAGAACACCGGUGGCGAAGGCGGCCCACUGGAUCGGUACUGACGCUGAGGUGCGAAAGCGUGGGGAGCAAAC
rnacentral:rRNA from 1 species